rnacentral:rRNA from 1 species
UACGUAGGGUGCGAGCGUUGUCCGGAAUUAUUGGGCGUAAAGCGCUUGUAGGCGGUCUGUCGCGUCUGCUGUGAAAAUCCGGGGCUCAACCCCGGACUUGCAGUGGGUACGGGCAGACUAGAGUGCGGUAGGGGAGACUGGAAUUCCUGGUGUAGCGGUGAAAUGCGCAGAUAUCAGGAGGAACACCGGUGGCGAAGGCGGGUCUCUGGGCCGUAACUGACGCUGAGGAGCGAAAGCAUGGGGAGCGAACAGG